AGACAGCAGUAGCCACGGUAAUACGUAGGUGGCAAGCGUUGUCCGGAAUUAUUGGGCGUAAAGCGAGCGCAGGCGGUUAGAUAAGUCUGAAGUUAAAGGCUGUGGCUUAACCAUAGUACGCUUUGGAAACUGUUUAACUUGAGUGCAAGAGGGGAGAGUGGAAUUCCAUGUGUAGCGGUGAAAUGCGUAGAUAUAUGGAGGAACACCGGUGGCGAAAGCGGCUCUCUGGCUUGUAACUGACGCUGAGGCUCGAAAGCGUGGGGAGCAAACAGGAUUAGAUACCCCAGUAGUCCCUGUCUCUUAUACC
rnacentral:rRNA from 1 species